rnacentral:rRNA from 1 species
AUGGCCAUACCGUGCUGAAUAUACCGGUUCUCGUUAGAAGCACCGAAGUCAAGCAUCAUUGGGCGCGGUCAGUACUUGGGUGGGUGACCACCUGCGAACAGCGCGUGCCGUU